AACGAACGCUGGCGGCAGGCCUAACACAUGCAAGUCGAGGGGCAGCACAUGAGUAGCAAUACGAUGGUGGCGACCGGCGCACGGGUGAGUAACACGUAUGCAACCUGCCUUCUACUAUGGGAUAACCCGUUGAAAGACGGACUAAUACCGUAUAAUACAGGGGCUCCGCAUGGAGAUAUUUGUUAAAGAUUUAUUGGUAGAAGAUGGGCAUGCGUAUGAUUAGAUAGUUGGUGAGGUAACGGCUCACCAAGUCAACGAUCAUUAGGGGUUCUGAGAGGAAGGUCCCCCACACUGGUACUGAGACACGGACCAGACUCCUACGGGAGGCAGCAGUGAGGAAUAUUGGUCAAUGGACGAGAGUCUGAACCAGCCAAGUCGCGUGAAGGAAGACGGUUCUAUGAAUUGUAAACUUCUUUUGUGCAGGAAUAAAGUGGGUUACGUGUAACCUUUUGUAUGUACUGUACGAAUAAGGAUCGGCUAACUCCGUGCCAGCCGCCGCAGUAAUAC
rnacentral:rRNA from 1 species